GUGGGCCCGAGUUGGCACGGUCCUCCGGCUGGGAUCACACAGCCGUCCCGGCAUGCCGUGGGCCCAGUCCUCCGGUUGGGAGGUUUCAGCCGUCCCGGCAUGCUGAGGGCCUGUUUUGAAUGGCGAAGGUUCAGGGAAAGGGAGAGAAGACCGGUGCGGCCUGUUAGCGCCUGAAAGGGGAGAGGAGGGGCAAAUUCUAAUCGCUUGCACUCCCACUGAAAUGUUGUAAAAUGUCCUGGAUUGCAAGUGAUUAUGGCAUCUAGACAUAAAAAUGUCAAGCAAGGUGUAUUAUUUGGCGUGGAAGAUGAACUCAUUGAAGGAAGACAACUUGGUAAAAGGGUGCAUCCUAAUUGUAAUGAGACUAUGAGAAAGGUUAGGGUCCUGGAAUGCAAAGAGGUGACUCCUAAAGUUAGAAGAUUAUCUACUGGACAAACAAAGAAAACAUUGCACAGAACAUCCAAAACGACGUGCUGUAAAAAGAAGACUAGACGUAGAGUCCAAAGUAUCGUGGGCAACGGGAAACAGCAUCCAAACCUUUGGAGCUGUGACAUGGCAAAUAAAGAAAAUGAAGUGGUCUGUUCAGGAGCUGUACCUAAAUUAUGCAAUGACAAUCGCAGCUCACAGCUGAACUCCAGUGAUUCGUCUGCUUCACAGACUAGUACUUCUGUUACAUAUGCAGAUUAUUUUGCACAGAUUUCUAAGGAUCAUGCUACAAUGACACAAGUACUAUUUGGUAGAAACUUAAGACUGAACGUAGCUCUGACAUUCUGGCAGAAAAGUGCAAGUGAGCUGGUAGCUUAUCUGGUCAGGAUACAUGACAUUGCUGUUACUGCAGAUUGUCUACCAGUGCUUACGAAAAGUCUGGAGGAAGAGAAACAAAGCAUCUCCGUAGGUUGUUGUGUUGACCUCUUACCACUAGCGCAGGAGUUAUUAAGAAGCAGAUAUGAAGAAUAUCUGAUUGUUGGUUUAAACUGGCUCCGAGCUGUCCUUAAACAAUGGUGGCCAGAGCUAUCUGCAAAUACUGCAAAUAAUGAUGAAACUCAUGUAGCAGAUAGUAAAGGCCUACAUUUUGCAAUCGGGGGCAAAGGAUUCUCUUUCCAAGUAGCCUUGCUGUUAGCUGUCGGCAAGCCUCUGCUGAACUUUUAAGUGGCAUCUUGCAUCUUUUGAAGUCAUUUUUUGCACAUCAACCUCUCUUGUAGACUGGUUUCUGAACUGGGAAAGAAAUGGCAAGACUCUUGAACCUUGAGAGUGUGGGAACCUACCUGGAGCAAUUGUACUAAAUAUCUUCAGCAUCCAGGGAGCUUCAUUUUUCAAGUACUAUCAGCAGUUAAAAGCUGCUUUGCAACAUCAUUUCAACCUCCUUAUUUGUUUAAAAUAUUUGGGAGACCAGCACUGCAGAAAGUGAUCAAAGUAGGCUCAGUACAAAAUUGGUUGCAAAAUAUGUUCUAAAACCACUAUUGAACCCAAUGAAGCUACUUCACAUUGAAGUGGUUUAUUUGCCAAGCGGCAUAUACUCGACUCUGUGAGCUGAUGAUGUGACACUGUUUUGCAUUCCAGAUUCAUGUAGCCUAACUUGACCAGAAGGUCUGUGUUCUUCAAACUGUCUGACUAGUGCCAAUCAUCUGCACUGAAAUGCUGCUUCAGUGCUCUUGGACACUAAGAAUGUAUUUUCUGUAUAUUUGAUUCAAGGUUGUAAAGUUUCAUAUGGCCAUGCAACAAUGAUAAGUUAUAAUUUCAGUAAAGAAAGCACCAUAGUAGAGCAUGCAGCUGUUUACUAAUAUCAGUAAGGUGACAUUAACAAAAUGUGCAUAGCACUGUAUUCUUUUAAUUGAAACAUUAAAGUAGAUAUUUCUUGUGACUUUGCACUUAAAUAAAAAAUGCUAUGUCUCUACAUAGUACUCA